UACGUAGGUGGCGAGCGUUAUCCGGAUUUACUGGGCGUAAAGCGCGUGCAGGCGGUUCUGUAAGUCGGACGUGAAAGCUCCUGGCUUAACUGGGAGAGGUCGUUCGAUACUGCAGAACUUGAGGUCGGGAGAGGGACGUGGAAUUCCCGGUGUAGUGGUGGAAUGCGUAGAUAUCGGGAGGAACUCCAGUGGCGAAGGCGGCGUCCUGGCCCGCACCUGACGCUAAGACGCGAAAGCGUGGGUAGCAAACGGGAUUAGAUACCCCCGUA
rnacentral:rRNA from 1 species